UAGUAAUCCUGAAACCAACAACAAUUUGGACCACGAAUUUCCAAAGCAAAAAAUGAAGAACGUCCUUAAAAAAAUCCGACAUUUGCUCUUGUUCUCUCAUACGUCAUUACCUGGUCAUGUCCACAUACAGAGCCACCUGUUUCCCUGUCCUUGUCUCUCCCACCCUUAAUUCAAUCGUCCCAUUUUGAAGCUUCCUCUUCUCAUAAUAUUAAAGAAAAAAUAAUAAUAUAUGAACACUUUUUUGAACUAGUCAAAUUCAUGCUUCCAUGGAAUAUAAUUAAGUCGAAGUAUUCAAGAAAUUAUAUAGUAUAUACACUGAAACUUUCUGAUAAAAAGAUCUAUUCUUUUGUUUUGUUCUUUUGUAUUAUUUUCUUAUGGUAAACUAGAGCUGAAUAGCAGUAAAAAGAUUGAAAACCCAGCUCAAAUUCUUCGUAUUUGAAUCAAGAAAUGACCUCUAAUUUUUGGACAUCUCGCAUCGCUGCCGCUAAACAGCAGUAUGCGUCACAGCACCAUCAUCAGAGUUCCCAUCCAGAUCGUUUCAAUAUUGAUGAUUUCGAGGUAGAAGAAGAGGUUAGAGCUGAUUUUCCAUGUCCUUACUGUUAUGAAGAUUUCGAUAUCGGGUCUCUGUGUUCGCAUCUUGAAGAUGAGCACUCGUACGAGUCUAAAGUCGCCGUUUGUCCUAUUUGCUCUGUCAAAGUUGCUCAGGACAUGCUAAGUCAUAUUACAUUACAACAUGGACACUUGUUCAAGUUGCAGAGACGUCGCAGGUUACGUAGAGUUGCAAUUCCUAACAGUCAGGCAUUGUCUCUCCUUGGUCGUGAUCUCCGUGAGGCUCAUCUGCAAGUGCUGUUAGGGGGUGGUGGAUAUAGGUCAAAUAACACUAAUGCUAAUGUGUCCAAUGCCUCCACCGAUCCAUUCCUUUCAUCUUUCAUUUUAAAUUUCCAUACAUCUGAAGCAGAGGAAAUUUCAAAAUCUGUGGUAACGAGUAUAGAGGAUUCUUCUGCAAAGAAUUCAGCACCAUCUCAUAUGUGGAAAUCAAGUGCUUGUAACCGUGGCCAACAUUGAACCUUAUGUGGAAACAUCUAUGUUAAAGUCUUGCUGUGAUCUUUUGGUCAUAUGGGAUGGGACAGGCAUCAAUGAACUUCUGUGUAGGAGGUUGGGGUUAAAGCUCCCGCUCAUAACUAACAAAGGCAAGGGUCGUGCUUGGUUGCUUGUUGGUUGAGGGUUGGGUUUUGAUCCUUCUUUGAGUUACGAAGAGAGGGAAAAAAGGAUGAAGCAAGUUUCUGGGAGAGUUGGUUUUGUGCAGGAUUUGCUUCUCUCAACCUUGUUAAGCAACUAAUAAAAGCAGGAAGUCAACUUAGAAAAUAAGGGAGGAGAUUCAAAAUCUUUCUAUUAGAGGUAAUUUUGGGUGGGAUUUUAUUUGUUUUACAUUGCUCAACAACCCAAAUGCAUGCCUCAUUAAGAUUCUGCAGCAGCACUGUGGCGACUUUAGGAUAAUAUCUCAUCCUUUUCUCCUCUCAACUAGUGAUGUACUGCACUCAGCAGAAACAAUGAUCUUCUAGUUAUGGAAGACUUGAUUUAUGAAAUAUUCUGGAUGUAGCUUUUUCAAUGAUAA